CGUGACGGGGCGGGGUGCUCCUUCGUCCUUGGACGGGGCGGGGAUGGCUACUGCCUCCGUCACUCGAGUCACUGGAACGUCUGUCCCGUGUCCAGCAGAUGGUGGGCACGCUUUUGAGCUUCCUCCACCGACCCCAGACCUGUCGGUCCACGAGCGAGCACCUCCCGGGGCUGCCUCCCAGAGCCGCCUUCCAGCCAGCGACACCGGAGGGUCCCCCCCCCUGCCUUUUGGAGGCUGUUUCUUUCUCGAAGGCCGAGAUUCACGAUUCCGUAGACUAAGGAUGACAGAAAGACACGUGAGCCACCUGUCAGGAGACGGGUAACGACAGGCGCAGGGGAGGAGCAAGGAGGAGGCAGACGUGGGGGGAUCUGAGUUGUUCCUUAGUGUCUGCGGCAGGACACAGACGCCUUGAUUGACAAGCUCCGCGUGAUGGAAGCGGAACAAAUCUUCACUUUGUCUCCGUGCAGCUCGUAGGAGAAAGGCAGACAGCAGUUUAUUUUUUAAAAGUCGAUGCGUUUUUCGUUUUAAUUAGGAAACGUGAGAGGAUACGGUGGGACGAGUCUGGAUUUCUGUGGUUGUCGUCAUCACGGUAGACAAGCUCGUGGUCAGAAUGGAAAUCGUGAACUGCAGAUUCUUAGUUUCCUAAUGAACUUUGAGAGCGGGGGGCGGGGGGCGGGACGGACCCCAGCAGCACGUCGUGCAUGUUGCACGUGUGGAGGUGCUGGCCGGGGCAGAAGGUCAGUCGCCAACGAGAGAUGAGCCCCCGGCUUCCGCGGUGAUCACUGUCACCAGGACACCUGUGUCUGGAGCAGGCUGGUCACCUCUCGGGUCCCGCAGAAGCCGGAGUUAGACGGCCUCUCUGCCCUUCGGGCUUUCGGUCCUCUGGGUGCAGCGGCCCUUGGCCAGGUUCACGGUCUUCAGUUCAGUGGCGGCCGUGGGAUUUCAGGCCUGGUUUUUCAGAGUCGCCGGACCUUGCACUCCUGCGUGGGCUCUCGAGGAACUUGGCCUCGUCUGGCAGCAGCUGUCGAAUGAGCUUUCGCGCUGUGCCUGUCCCCGUAGGCUACGGGGCUACGGCGGUGAACAAAGCCGACGCCAACCCUCUGCAUUCCCGCGGGGAGAGAGAAGGCCGGGGCCGGCAGGUGUCUGGAGGAGGAGGAGGAAGUGAGGCUGGCACCGCUGGGCAUCUGUGCGUCCCGUGAGGCCGUCAGGGCAGAUCUUGAGAAGGGGACGUGGCCCAUGUCAGGGAGGCAGAGCGAAGAUGUGAAAAGUCCCUCCCUGAAAGCUCCCACGUCACCUGGAGCUCUGGGUGCCACUUACGUAACCAGUUGGCACUGCGUUCGCUCUGCGCUCUUCGCUGAGGUCACGUGAAGGUGACACCUUGGCUCUUUUUGCUGCGUCUGCCGUGAGGAUGAAGACCAUUCUCAGCGAUCACUGUCGCCGUUCCAGAAACAUGGACGCCACUCCGAGGGACGCUCGUGGCUGUGCCGGGCCCAGAGGCGCCCCGGGGAGCGACGUCAAUCACACCGGCGCAGGACUCAGUCCCCUCGGAAAGGAAAAGAGGCUCGGGACGUGGAAGGGAACUGGUCGCCAAUGGCACUGUCCGCAGCCACGAGCAGAACACGAUCGAGGCGUCCGCCGGCUUCGGACACAGGACAGCGCCUGCGCGUGCCGCUCCCCGUCACGCUGCUACUCGGGGGAUGCUUCUCUGGGUGGAACUCGAAAUUUCUUGGCUGAAAAAUACAUCCGCAGGGUUCGGAUGAGGUCAGGUGUUGCUUUUCCGUCUCUCGAGCCCAGAAAGAUGAGUUAAUUCUCGAAGGAAACGACAUCGAACUUGGCUCGAAUUCAGCUGCUUUGAUCCCACAAGCCACAGCAGCUAUCAGAAAGUUUGGGGGUGGUAACUGUGUUUCUGAAGAAGGAACAGUUCACCUGGCUGAUGAAUGAGUCAAGGUCGUCCAGCUACAGAAACGCCAGGAUGUCGGAUGGUUCCUCAGACUGACCCAUGGUAUUUAAAAGUUGUAUAUUGGAAAAAAAAAAA